rnacentral:rRNA from 1 species
UACGUAGGGGGCGAGCGUUGUCCGGAUUCAUUGGGCGUAAAGAGCUCGUAGGCGGCUUGGCAAGUCGGAUGUGAAAACUCCAGGCUCAACCUGGAGCCGCCAUUCGAUACUGCUAUGGCUAGAGUCCGGUAGGGGAGUGUGGAAUUCCCGGUGUAGCGGUGAAAUGCGCAGAUAUCGGGAGGAACACCGAUGGCGAAGGCAGCACUCUGGGCCGGCACUGACGCUGAGGAGCGAAAGCUAGGGUAGCAAACGGG